rnacentral:rRNA from 1 species
UGACCUAGGGGCGCAGCAGUGGGGAAUAUUGGGCAAUGGGCGCAAGCCUGACCCAGCAACGCCGCGUGAAGGAAGAAGGCUUUCGGGUUGUAAACUUCUUUUGUCAGGGACGAAGCAAGUGACGGUACCUGACGAAUAAGCCACGGCUAACUACGUGCCAGCAGCCGCGGUAAUACGUAGGCGGCAAGCGUUAUCCGGAUUUACUGGGUGUAAAGGGCGUGUAGGCGGGGAAGCAAGUCAGAUGUGAAAACCACGGGCUCAACCCCCGAACUGCAUUUGAAACUGUUGGUCUU